GCAUUUUGUCAGUCGGUAGAGCAUGAGACUCUGAAUCUCUGGGUUGUGGGUUCGUGUCCCAUGUUGGGCA